UACGUAGGGUGCAAGCGUUAAUCGGAAUUACUGGGCGUAAAGGGAGCGUAGGCGGAUAGUUUAGUCAGAGGUGAAAGCCCAGGGCUCAACCUUGGAAUUGCCCUUGAUACUGGCUAUCUUGAGUACGGAAGAGGUAUGUGGAACUCCGAGUGUAGAGGUGAAAUUCGUAGAUAUUCGGAAGAACACCAGUGGCGAAGGCGACAUACUGGUCCGUUACUGACGCUGAGGCUCGAAAGCGUGGGGAGCAAACAGG
rnacentral:rRNA from 1 species